rnacentral:rRNA from 1 species
GACGAACGCUGGCGGCGUGCUUAACACAUGCAAGUCGAACGAAGUGGCGAACGGGUGAGUAACGCGUAAUCAACCUGCCCUUCAGAGGGGGACAACAGUUGGAACCGACUGCUAAUACCGCAUACUGAAGGGGGGGAUUGCGUCGGAUUAGCUAGUUGGGGGGGUAACGGCCCACCAAGGCGAUGGUCAGUAGCCGGGCUGAGAGGGUGAACGGCCACAAUGGGACUGAGACACGGCCCAGACUCCUACGGGAGGCAGCAGUGGGGAAUUUUCCGCAAUGGACGAAAGUCUGACGGAGCAACGCCGCGGGAGUGAUGACGGCCUUCGGGUUGUAAAGCUCUGUUAAUCGGGACGCGGUACCGGAAUAGAAAGCCACGGCUAACUCCGUGCCAGCCGCCGCGGUAAUAC